CUCCAAUAUUCCCUUUAGUUUCUGAUAGAAUAAAUAAAAUGUUCUAUGUGCAGAGACCCGCGUAUGUAACUGCCUUUAAUUCAGCGCCAUUAACAACACGGGUCUCCAAAAUAUCCACACGGAAACAUGUUGUAAACUAAGCUAACGUUCGGUCCAUUAGCUGUAGGGAGCUAACGUUAACGUUUACUUUAUCUUUAUUUCGGGCUCUUAGCCUCUUGAAUGAAUACCUGAGUCGGGUAUUAAAUGGAUUUUCGUCUAAACCUGAACGCUCUGAAGUUCGCUUCUGGAAGUUCCGUUGUUGUGAUUAUACAAAAAAAGUUGUUUAUCUCCCAACGUUCGGUGAAAGUGCCGUCGGCGCCAUUUUGUUUCCCCAAUUUCCGAGACAAAUUUGGACGAAAUUAUCCAUUUAAGCAAAAUUAAAAAUACCAUUUGAAUCCCUAUACAUGUGUUGACACAUUACACACGGUCCCUGCCAUAAAAAACACACUUUUGACGUUUAAUUACCAUUUUACACGGAAGAAACUCCAGAUGUGCCCCAAAUCAGUUUCUCCAUAAUUUGCUAGCUUAAAUUCAGAACAUUCCAUUUCUUAAUAUUCAACAUUUAACGUUAUUACGUGCAAUUUUUGUACUGAGGUUAUUUUCCACGGGAUUGGGCCUCAGACCGUUCAACUUUUUAGGUAACACAGCUACACUCGUCAAGUUCAACAGCAGAAGUGAAUUCAGAAUGGCCAGCAGCGUUCAGGUGACCUCAGUGAAACGUCACCGUCCUGUUGCCAUGGCGUUUACUCACCGCUGUGCGUGAGGCGGUUU
ensembl:lncRNA